CUCAUUUUUUGUCCCUAAAUAACUGUUAAAUAUCAUCUUCGUAAUAUAUUAUGUAGUAUUUCUGGUCUUUUUUUAUGUCACUAGGUCGGCAAACAAGCGUACGGCUCACCUGAUGGUAAGCGAUUACCGUAGCUUAUAGACACCUGCAACACCAGAAGCAUCGCAAGCGCGUUGCCGACCCAAUCCCCAAUCCGCCCAGGAGC
rnacentral:misc_RNA from 1 species